rnacentral:rRNA from 1 species
GAUGAACGCUGGCGGCGUGCCUAAUACAUGCAAGUCGAGCGAACAGACGAGGAGCUUGCUCCUCUGACGUUAGCGGCGGACGGGUGAGUAACACGUGGAUAACCUACCUAUAAGACUGGGAUAACUUCGGGAAACCGGAGCUAAUACCGGAUAAUAUAUUGAACCGCAUGGUUCAAUAGUGAAAGGCGGUUUUGCUGUCACUUAUAGAUGGAUCCGCGCCGCAUUAGCUAGUUGGUAAGGUAACGGCUUACCAAGGCGACGAUGCGUAGCCGACCUGAGAGGGUGAUCGGCCACACUGGAACUGAGACACGGUCCAGACUCCUACGGGAGGCAGCAGUAGGGAAUCUUCCGCAAUGGGCGAAAGCCUGACGGAGCAACGCCGCGUGAGUGAUGAAGGUCUUCGGAUCGUAAAACUCUGUUAUUAGGGAAGAACAAAUGUGUAAGUAACUAUGCACGUCUUGACGGCACCUAAUCAGAAAGCCACGGCUAACUACGUG